rnacentral:rRNA from 1 species
UACGAAGGGGGCUAGCGUUGUUCGGAAUUACUGGGCGUAAAGCGCGCGCAGGCGGUCUUCCAAGUCAGUGGUGAAAGCCCGGAGCUCAACUCCGGAACUGCCAUUGAAACUGUAAGACUUGAGGAUGAGAGAGGUGAGUGGAAUUCCCAGUGUAGAGGUGAAAUUCGUAGAUAUUGGGAAGAACACCAGUGGCGAAGGCGGCUCACUGGCCCGGUACUGACGCUGAGGUGCGAAAGCGUGGGGAGCAAACAGG